GUGGUGUGCUCAGAGCAGGGGGAGCUGAAGAGUGACUCCUCUGUUUAUUACACAUCCAACAGGAAUCUGGGGUCAUUGUGAUGAGGGGCACAAAGCUGGGCGCCUCCCUAUGAACAAAUUCCCUACACGU
ensembl:snoRNA